ACCUUGAUAGCUCAAUCGGUUAGAGCUCAGAACUGAAGAUUCUGGGACGUGAGAUCGUAACUCGCUCGAGGUA
rnacentral:tRNA from 1 species